rnacentral:rRNA from 1 species
AAUCAACGCUGGCGGCGCGCUUAACACAUGCAAGUCGAACGAGAAAGAGGAGCGAUCCUUGAGUAAAGUGGCGUACUGGUGAGUAACACGUGGAUAUCUACCUCCUGGUGGGGAAUAACCUGGGGAAACCUGGGCUAAUACCGCAUAAGUUCGCGAGAAGAAAGGCGUAAGUCGCCGGGAGAGGAGUCCGCGGUCGAUUAGGUAGUUGGCGGGGUAAGAGCCCACCAAGCCAAAGAUCGANAGCCGGCCUGAGAGGGCACACGGCCACACUGGCACUGAAACACGGGCCAGACUCCUACGGGAGGCAGCAGUGGGGAAUCUUGCACAAUGGGGGAAACCCUGAUGCAGCGACGCCGCGUGAGCGAUG